rnacentral:tRNA from 1 species
AAGGUGCUAGUCCAAUUAAGACAACUGAUUUCGGCUCAGUAAAUUAUGGUUAAACCCCAUAGCACCUCU